rnacentral:lncRNA from 1 species
UAUCGAUCUUUUUAUGAUAAUGGAGCAUCAUAACUGUGAAGAUAGGGAUUUCGAAACUUUAUUACUGAUUGUUCUUGUCAUAAGGCUUGUUCGAAUACUUGGUUGAGCUUUUGCGGUUUGAGAAUCCUUAUCAUGGGUGAUAGUUGUGGCCUGAGGCCACUGAUAAAAGUGAAUAUGAAAAAUCUCUGUUAGGUUAUCAGCAUCCAUAAGAGAAAGUAAGUAUUUAAAUAGUUCUACAUAAUCGAGAACGGUACCUAUUUGGUAUAAUUUGGUGAACUCUUCUAUGAAGUCCU